rnacentral:lncRNA from 11 species
AGAAACACAUGUGAUGGGAAGACAGAACAUGAAACAGGACAAUUGUGGAUCUAACUGAACAAUUCCUUUUGGUACACAGACGGUUCAUGACACUUCUCUAGGUCUAUAGGGUGAAGGAACCUGCCCCUAAUUUCCCAUGUUAUUUCUAUCUCUGCUACCAAAUGUUCUGUUUAAAAAGUCAU